rnacentral:rRNA from 1 species
AUGAGCUGUUUUCAACUGUCAAAGAAAAAGUGUUGGAACCUGACUUCUAUCUCCUCUAACUUCUGGUGGGGAUUAGCUCAUGGUGAGAACAAGGUGCACUGGGUGGCCUGGGACAAAAUGUGCUUGUCAAAGCGAGAGGGGGGUAUGGGUUUUCGGAAUUUUUAAGUGUUCAACCAGGCUUUGUUGGGCAAGCAAGCAUGGAGAAUUAUGCAAUUCCCGGACUCGCUUUAUGCUAGGGUUCUGAAGGCAAGAUAUUUCAAAGACUCUUCAAUUAUGAAUGCUACGUGCCCAUCAAACGAAUCCUUCAUGUUCCGGAGCAUCCUACAUGGUCGGGACCUGCUGCGGGAAGGAGCUGUGUGGCGGAUUGGAGAUGGCUCCAAGGUACAUAUUCACCACGACAAUUGGAUUCCCCGAAGGAGCUGCUUGCGGCCACUGGGCCAAACUUUCAUCCAGGGGACGACUCGCGUGGCCGAUCUGCUGUCACCUGAUGGAAACUCAUGGAACGAGACAAAGGUUGACGCAAUGUUCACCCCAAGUGAUGAUGCUGACAUCAAGCAAAUCCCGAUAGGAGCCAGGGUGUAG